rnacentral:lncRNA from 1 species
UUAAUAAAAAUUAUUUGGAGGCGGGUGCUUUAUAGAGACCAGAAGAAAUCUGAGGGUUUGGCAGAGCUCAGGAGAUUGGUCCUGCAAUAAUGUAAAUUAUUAGUAGUGUUAUAUAAAAAAAUUAUAGUCUUAUAUAUAGUCGUGUUUUUUUUUUACAAUUAAACAUGAAAACCUACUGCUAAUGGUCAUUAACCAGUUUCCUUUGUCAUUUGAAGCUUUCCACUUGUUUUUCUCUCUUAUGUUUUGAAGGUAUUCGAGUCUUCUGAUGCACCAUGUGCUAUGUGUACCUCUGUAAAGGCAUCACCACCCUCUCGCCCUUCUCCACUCCCCUCAUCAUCAUCAUCAUCAUCAGCUGCCCCUGUGAUGGGCACAUCAUCUUCAUCCUCCCCAUCAUCACCUGGCCCUUUGCCCUGUGAUGCAUCCACUUCUGUGAUCUCCCCAUCACAGGUGUCCCAGACACUCUCAAUAAGGGAGGUUCAUCAAUCCCUUCAAAAAGAAAAUGGGAGGACUCUGAGGUAAAAGCAGUUGAAAAACAUAUGAUGAAGUUCAUAAAGACCUGCAAAGUUCCUGGUAAGCAAGACUGUGAGAGACCUGCAAAGUUCCUGGUAAGCAAGACUGUGAGAGAUGCAUUGAAGCAGAGUCAGAAGCCUUAAAGGAACGAACAUGGACUGGUGUGAAAAAUUAUGUGCGGAACAGGAUCACAACUUUAAAAAAAGAGGUGGAUUUUAGAGGCUACAUUGCCUUUUACUGUAAAGUGAAGAACAUGUUGAGGAAAAUGUUAAAAGCAUCAAUGCCAUUUACACCAUAUCAAACUUUAAUAACUUCUGUAAGGCCCUGUUAUACCCCGUUUUAACACUUUCCACACCAUGCUCAUCAUUUUAAAGAAAUUAGAUAAAAGUUUAAGUAGAAAGAUGUAUUAAGAGGAAGAAUUUCUUUGAGGAUGGAAGGAAACAAAAUGUUAACGAAGUAAACUAGACAGGAGAAGAGAGCGGAGUAAACGUAAUAUUGAAGUGAUGGAUUAUGAGGAAGGAUGAAGAGUCUAGAAAAAGACACUGCACUGACAAAUUUUUCAUUGUUUUUAUUGUUCAGUUCAUUUCAGCAUGUUGCCUUCGCUAUUUCAGAUGUGCACUUUCACAAUGUGUGAAUAUUGUUUAUUUGAUCAGUAAUCACAAUUGUUUAAUAUAGUCAGAAAAUCAUGUGGAUCAGCAAAAGUAAAGGGAUGGAAAAGAGGGAGGAGUGAAAGUAAAGUAGGUAGUGUUUUUUUUUUUUUUGUUAAGUAGCAACUGAGGCACAAGACGAUGCCAUGUCAAGUGAUGAGGAGGAUGCAGACGAAGAGAGCUGCAGUGACUUCCCUCAGACAACAGCACUAGCGGACACUGAUCAACAAUCUGUUUCACUGAAAGAUCAAGGUAGAAAGAUCUGAAAACCAUACUAACAACAAUAAUGAAAUGAUCAUGAAUUACUGAAAACAUUAUAUGCAGGCAUCAAUAACCAGUUUUUCAGAAUUAUUAAAGUCUAUACAGUGAAACAAUGUUAAUUUGGUUAUAACUCACUGAGUUUAGUUGUAAUGAGGAUGCUUUUUUACAUUUUAUAGGUUCAUCAAUCCCUUCAAAAAGAAAAUGGGAGGACUCUGAGGUAAAAGCAGUUGAAAAACAUAUGAUGAAGUUCAUAAAGACCUGCAAAGUUCCUGGUAAGCAAGACUGUGAGAGAUGCAUUGAAGCAGAGUCAGAAGCCUUAAAGGAACGAACAUGGACUGGUGUGAAAAAUUAUGUGCGGAACAGGAUCACAACUUGAGGUGGAUUUUAGAGGCUACAUUGCCUUUUACUGUAAAGUGAAGAACAUGGUGAGGAAAAUGUUAAAAGCAUCAAUGCCAUUUACACCAUAUCAAACUUUAAUAACUUCUGUAAGGCCCUGUUAUACCCCGUUUUAACACUUUCCACACCAUGCUCAUCAUUUUAAAGAAAUUAGAUAAAAGUUUAAGUAGACAGAUGUAUUAAGAGGAAGAUUUUCUUUGAGGAUGGAAGGAAACAAAAUGUUAACGAAGUAAACUAGACAGGAGAAGAGAGCGGAGUAAACGUAAUAUUGAAGUGAUGGAUUAUGAGAAAGGAUGAAGAGUCUAGAAAAAGACACUGCACUGACAAAUUUUUCAUUGUUUUUAUUGUUCAGUUCAUUUCAGCAUGUUGCCUUCGCUAUUUCAGAUGUGCACUUUCACAAUGUGUGAAUAUUGUUUAUUUGAUCAGUAAUCACAAUUGUUUAAUAUAGUCAGAAAAUCAUGUGGAUCAGCAAAAGUAAAGGGAUGGAAAAGAGGGAGGAGUGAAAGUAAAGGGAUAGGAAAAGAGGGAGGAGUAGAAAG